AGAUUAGAUUAGAUUAGUUGAAUUUUGACAAAUUUAUUCAUGUGGAAGUUUAUUUCUAAUAUUUCCUAAAUUUUUGCGACUCAAAUUUAUUCAACUUGUCCAUUACCUUGUCUAUAAACUAUGCACUUCCAGAAUCAUAAACUAUGCACUUCCAGAAUCUUAUUGAAGCUUGUUAUUGGGUCGGUCUUGAAGCUAUAUUAUGUUAUUUUGGAAAGUUUCUUGAAACAUAAUCCAUUCAAAGAAAUUUGGAACUCAGGAAGUGUGGACUUCCAUUGCAUUUUAUCCAUACCUAUGUUUUCUCUUUAACAUCCUUGCAUCUGCUUAUGGUUUAGUCACUUUAUUGCUAUUCACUUUGUCCAUUCGAAGGAUUUAACUCAAAUUCUAUAAGAUAAUUUGUUGCCUGUUUUCCCUCAGUUUGCUUGCUCGAUGCACAUAACACAACUAGAUAUGUGUUCCAUUCUAAAAGUUUUCUAUAGUUUAUGAUUGGCUUCUAUAUCAAUUUAUAAUUUAACCAUAUAAGAACUAGUGUGUUUAUGGUCAACAUGGUUAUCCAUUAGUAUAACUCAUUACAUGUAUUAGAUGUUCUAAAGAGAUUUUAAAAGUCGAGUUUGGAUUCUUAUUUGUUAAUUUGGGUGCUGAAUAUUUGACCCUAACCCAAGCAAGUUUAUCCCAGGGCUUUCAUUUUUUUUUCCUUCGCUUUGUAUUUUGGUUUUAAGGACUUCUAUCAAAUUGACUCAUUUUGCUCUAAUAUGUUUCAGAAUUUGGCUCUCUUUGGCACACUAUUGUUCUUGGAACUGGAGACCUUCGGACCUUUCCAAAGCGGCACAAGGUGGUCACUUGGACAAAAGUCAGCUGAGCAAUGUGUAAAACAAAUUGUGUUUGUUUAAGCAUCACGAUACCACCAUGUUGGUGUGAUUUCCCACCUGCAGCGGAGAAUAGGAACAAUUUCAUCAUUAAUUAUCCAAGUGUAGUUUUGUUUCUGUUGUACCUUGUUUAUUAGAGUUGCCUUGAGAAACCACAUUAAACUACUUGAUCCGAAUAUGGAGGAUUAAGAUGCAGAAUAUAGAAAAAUAAAAGUCCAUGGCUGCAUAUAUCAAGAGAGAGGUCCGUCAUCAUUUAUCUCCAUUCUCUUAGAAAAUUGCAUGGGCCUAAUAACUUUUCUUUUUUGUUAAAAUUUGUUUGAAAGCGGAGAGUUCUUAAAUAAAUCUAAUAACUUUGAGUGAUUGGUAAGGAUGUUGGAUAUGUAUCUGUGAGAAAAAAGAGUUCUUUAAUGAAUCCAAACUUAUGUGUUGCUUAAGUAUUUUUACCUUAAGUUUUUUGAUCUUUCACCGAUCUAUGUUUGUUUUCUUUGAUACACAGGUUUGUUCUGCCUUGGUGCAACUUAUAGAAGUUCGACCAUCAUUCCUAGAGUGCCUUUUUAGAUAUUUUGAAGGUGAAUGGAGGUAUUAAAAAAUCCAGCUAAAUAGCUCGGGUAUGGAUGAUUACAGGAGAAACUACAUGCUAUGUGGAACUACAUCCGAAGCUCAUGGGUGUGACUGGGAAGUACUUCGACGAAGAACUAUCAAGAAGGCUUUGGGAUUUAAGUGAGAAGAUGGUUAAA